rnacentral:rRNA from 1 species
UACAGAGACUGCAAGCGUUAUUCGGAUUCACUGGGCGUAAAGGGUGCGCAGGCGGCCAAGUGUGUUAGGUGUGAAAGCCCGGGGCUUAACCCCGGAAUUGCACCUAAAACUACAUGGCUAGAGCAUUGGAGAGGGGAGCAGAAUUCACGGUGUAGCAGUGAAAUGCGUAGAUAUCGUGAGGAAUACCAGAGGCGAAGGCGGCUCCCUGGACAAUUGCUGACGCUCAGGCACGAAAGCGUGGGGAGCAAAAGGG